UCGAGGAUCUUCGGCAAUGGGCGCAAGCCUGACCGAGCGACGCCGCGUGUGCGAUGAAGGCCUUCGGGUUGUAAAGCACUGUCGAGGGGGACCAAUGCCGCAAGGCUUGAGAGAUCCCUGGAGGAAGCACGGGCUAAGUUCGUGCCAGCAGCCGCGGUAAGACGAACCGUGCGAACGUUGUUCGGAAUCACUGGGCUUAAAGGGCGCGUAGGCGGGUCAUCAAGUCAGGGGUGAAAUCCUCCCGCUCAACGGGAGAAGUGCCUUUGAUACUGAUGGUCUUGAGUGGGGUAGGGGCAUGUGGAACUUCCGGUGGAGCGGUGAAAUGCGUAGAUAUCGGAAGGAACGCCGGUGGCGAAAGCGACGUGCUGGACCCCUUCUGACGCUGAGGCGCGAAAGCCAGGGGAGCGAACGGGAUUAGAUACCCCCGUAGUCC
rnacentral:rRNA from 1 species